AUCGCGACCCCAGGUCAGGCGGGACUACCCGCUGAGUUU
rnacentral:rRNA from 1 species